GAUGAACGCUGGCGGCGUGCCUAAUACAUGCAAGUCGAGCGAACAGACGAGGAGUUUGCUCCUCUGACGCUAGCGGCGGACGGGUGAGUAACACGUGGAUAACCUAUCUAUAAGACUGGGAUAACUUCGGGAAACCUGAGCUAAUACCGGAUAAUAUAUUGAACCGCAGGGAUCAUUAGUGAAAGAGGGUUUUGCUGUCACUUAUAGAUGAAUCCGCGCUGCAUUAGCUAGUUGGUAAGGUAACGGCUUACCAAGGCAACGAUGCGUAGCCGACCUGAGAGGGUGAUCGGCCACACUGGAACUGAGACACGGUCCAGACUCCUACGGGAGGCAGCAGUAGGGAAUCUUCCGCAAUGGGCGAAAGCCUGACGGAGCAACGCCGCGUGAGUGAUGAAGGUCUUCGGAUCGUAAAGCUCUGUUAUUAGGGAAGAACAAAUGUGUAAGUAACUAUGCACGUCUUGACGGUACCUAAUCAGAAAGCCACGGCUAACUACGUG
rnacentral:rRNA from 1 species